UACGAAGGGGGCUAGCGUUGCUCGGAAUUACUGGGCGUAAAGGGCUCGUAGGCGGCCAACUAAGUCAGACGUGAAAUCCCCAGGCUCAACCUGGGAACUGCGUCUGAUACUGGAUGGCUUGAAUCCGGGAGAGGGAUGCAGAAUUCCAGGUGUAGCGGUGAAAUGCGUAGAUAUCUGGAGGAAUACCGGUGGCGAAGGCGGCAUCCUGGACCGGCAUUGACGCUGAGGAGCGAAAGCCAGGGUAGCAAACGGG
rnacentral:rRNA from 1 species